CUCACUCUCUCACUCUCUCACUCACUCCACCUAAAUGUAACGGUCGUUCUGCUCGCCUCAACACGACUUCCGACGAACAAAUUUCGUUCAUGUAUUUCGGAACCAACGACAUUGAACCAGGAAUUAGGUCAGAAAAGUAAACCUAGCGUAGAGGAUUUUGGUUGAAAGAAAAUGGUAAAUCGUUUACCCAAUUACGCCACAUGAAAGCAGCAGCAGUGCUUAAUAGAUCCAAAUCUGAUGCAAGUCGAGUAUUUCUUUGAAUCAUCAACUCUACAUCGACUGCAUCUCGAAGAACCUAGAAAGUUUUGUUUUCUCACCUCCAUCAGUGCCUGCUUUUGCUUCGACCCCUCAAGAGUAGUUGCUGAAGGCACUUCUGCGCAAAUUCAUUGUGACUAAAAGAAUAGCAGGAUUUGGUCAGUUGAAGUCCAAAAUCCGAAAGACUAGUCGACAAUUUAAAUUUUUUGAAUUUUGAAAACCCCAUCAGUAGCAAAUUGGACGAAACAUACAGCAAAGUGGAAUCGAACACCCAGAAUUAAAAGUCGAUUUAUGUAUCUCUGGGCUAUUGUAGGCCAGAUUCUCCAUGGCGAUGAUUUCAUUUCUGCAUAGUAAAUCCACCACAAAGGUACUCAUGGCGCAACACUGGAUCUUGCAAGUUGGAUUAUGAUUGGAUAGAGUAACAAUCGAAUGAUCGUCGUGUCCCUACUGAAUUGUCCGACUUUGACAAAGAAUUUAUAUACGCAGGCUACUGCCAGUAAUGUGGUGGGAUGCUGA
rnacentral:lncRNA from 1 species